CUAUAUUAUGCACUCCCCAAUCUAUCUCCCUUCUAAUCGUUCGCUGCAAACAAAAAAAAACAACAAGGCAAUUCUUCUCAACUUUAAUCAAGAAACCGUGAAACAGGACUCGAAAGACGGAGCUAGCGGUUGUUUUCUCAAACUCUGUUCAAGGGUGAUCUCCGUGAGCGAAGUAAGAUCGAAAAGGAAAAUCCAAGUUAAGGAACUAAGCAAUCGAGGUGGGCUUUCUUUUUAAAUAAGGGCAAUGCCCUAAGUAUAUUUUUAUGUGAAAAUAAUAUGAAUAUUUUUC